rnacentral:rRNA from 1 species
GACGAACGCUGGCGGCGUGCUUAACACAUGCAAGUCGAACGGAAAGGCCCUGCUUUUGUGGGGUGCUCGAGUGGCGAACGGGUGAGUAACACGUGAGUAACCUGCCCUUGACUUUGGGAUAACUUCAGGAAACUGGGGCUAAUACCGGAUAGGACCUCCUGCUGCAUGGUGGGGGUGGGAAAGUUUCGGCGGUUGGGGAUGGACUCGCGGCUUAUCAGCUUGUUGGUGGGGUAGUGGCUUACCAAGGCUUUGACGGGUAGCCGGCCUGAGAGGGUGACCGGCCACAUUGGGACUGAGAUACGGCCCAGACUCCUACGGGAGGCAGCAGUGGGGAAUAUUGCACAAUGGGCGGAAGCCUGAUGCAGCAACGCCGCGUGCGGGAUGACGGCCUUCGGGUUGUAAACCGCUUUCGCCUGUGACGAAGCGUGAGUGACGGUAAUGGGUAAAGAAGCACCGGCUAACUACGUG